rnacentral:rRNA from 1 species
AGAGUGAACGCUGGCGGUAGGCCUAACACAUGCAAGUCGAACGGCAGCACAGUAGGAGCUUGCUCUUACGGGUGGCGAGUGGCGGACGGGUGAGGAAUACAUCGGAAUCUACCUUUUGGUGGGGGAUAACGUAGGGAAACUUACGCUAAUACCGCAUACGCCCUUCGGGGGAAAGCCGGGGACCAGCAAUGGCCUGGCGCUGAUAGAUGAGCCGAUGUCGGAUUAGCUAGUUGGUGAGGUAAUGGCUCACCAAGGCGACGAUCCGUAGCUGGUCUGAGAGGAUGAUCAGCCACACUGGAACUGAGACACGGUCCAGACUCCUACGGGAGGCAGCAGUGGGGAAUAUUGGACAAUGGGACGCGAAGCCUGGAUCCAGCCAUACCGGCGUGGGUGAAGAAGGUCCUUCGGUUGUAA